rnacentral:tRNA from 1 species
AAGGAUUUAAGUUAAAUAGAAAACUAAUAACCUUCAAAGUUAUAAAUAGAGACUCUCUAAGCCUUA